AUUGAACGCUGGCGGCAUGCCUUACACAUGCAAGUCGAACGGGAACAGGUAUUCGGAUGCUGACGAGUGGCGCACGGGUGAGUAAUACAUCGGAACGUGCCCAGACGUGGGGGAUAACGAGGCGAAAGCUUUGCUAAUACCGCAUACGAUCUAAGGAUGACAGCAGGGGACCGCAAGGCCUGGGGCGUUUGGAGCGGCCGAUGGCAGAUUAGGUAGUUGGUGGGAUAACAGCUUACCAAGCCGACGAUCUGUAGCUGGUCUGAGAGGACGACCAGCCACACUGGGACUGAGACACGGCCCAGACUCCUACGGGAGGCAGCAGUGGGGAAUUUUGGACAAUGGGCGAAAGCCUGAUCCAGCAAUGCCGCGUGCAGGAUGAAGGCCUUCGGGUUGUAAACUGCUUUUGUACGGAACGAAAAGGCUCUGGCUAAUACCUGGGGCACAUGACGGUACCGUAAGAAUAAGCACCGGCUAACUACGUG
rnacentral:rRNA from 1 species